AAAAAAAUACAGGAAAAAAGGCAUUAUACUGAAACCUGAAAAAUGUACCAUAUUUUAGUAUAUGUUACCAACAUUUUGCUCAUUUCCAUUGCUCAAUGACACUCCCAUUUGACCAUGUAGGGACAAGAAAACUCUGCUUAACGUGGAGGAGGAGCUGAUGAAGGAAGUUGGCCAUCUACUCAAGAAUGAGGAAAAAGGUGGUCUUCUCCCCCUCCCAACUUCUUUUUCAGUUAUUGAACUGUAACUCACUAAGUUCUUGGGGUGUAGCACCUCUUUGCCUGUCUACAUGUAAGCCUCAUAGGCGUCCUAUGCUAAUGAAUGAUUUAUCUAUCACUUUGCUCCUCACAGAAUUUUCUGCCCUGAGACAUAAAGAAUCAAAGCUCCUCAAAGCCUCCCAAGAUGCCACUUAGUGGUUUCAUUUUGACUGGUGCCUGAGAUGAAUUAUACAUAAGAUCUUCAGAUGACAAAGAAGAAUGUGGAAGCUCCUAAGGAGUUGAGGAAAGAGCAGUCACUGGAGUAAUAAAACAUUUAUUGCCUGUGAAAUGGAAGUUCCACGUGGAAAGGAGUAAUAAGGAGCCCACAAACUCAUAAAAUGUCCUACGGGUCAAUAUUCAGGAUAAGCAAGCCAGAGGAAGAGGUAACUGUCCACAAUCUCCAUCACAACACACACUAGCAGAAAAUAUGUCCUACAUGAAUAUCAUCCACUAAGGAGAGUGGAGAAGAUGUAACCCUAGACCAAGACUGCAGUUAUGAUUAACUGACAAAACUAGAAGUUUUACAUACUUAAUUUCAUCUUAUUUUCAUUACUUGAGAGUAACCAUAAAAGUCAUGACUGUACAGCAUAGUGACUAUAGGUUAAUAAUACUAUAUUGCAUGUUUGAAAGUUGUGAAGAAAGUAGAUCUUAAAAGUUCUCAUGACAGGAGAAAGUGUGUAACUAUGUAUGAUAAUGGGCAUUAACUAGGCUUGUUGUGGUGAUCAUUUCAUCAUACAUACAAAUACCAAAUUCUUAUGCUGUAUACCUGAAACUAAUAUAAUGUUAUAUGGUGAUUAUAUUUCAAUUAAAUUUUUUAAAAGGCAUGAUUUUCGUGCACUGUCAUAAAAAUUUUCUCUACUAAGUGAAUUUUAGGUCAGCGUGAAAUAAAUAUCUUUUUUGUUGAUAUCCCAUGACUCAUGCUUGUGCAAUAUGUGAUUAUACUGUUACAGUAGAAAAGAAAACUUCAUCUAAAUAUCCAAGUACCCUUGAAGGUAUCCUUGAAGGUAAAAGUAUUUUUAAUAACAUAAUGGAAAGGUUUUCUCUUCCAACUUGAUUUGUUUUAAUCUGGUUGACAAACACUGAUGGCAAAAAUCCUGAAUUCUUCAUACAAAAUAACCCCAAAUCUGCCAAAUACAUCCACAAUAUCAGGAAAUCUCUAAGCAGAAGAGGUGUUCAAUGCUGAAGCAAUGGAAAAUUAGAGGGGAAGAGAAAAACAGAUGCUCUUCAGGAUAAUCUGAUAAAGUCAAAGUGAUUUUUAUUUUUAGUCACGUAUGUAUUUUCUGUAGAGUUUUACCGCCAGCAUAAGAGUCCAAGGAAUGUAAUAGAAAGGACUUCCCAUGUGAUUGUGAAACUGAAACUUUGUAAGAGCACUGACUGGAGUCUUGUUAAUAACUUCUUUCAUACAUUAUAGGUUAUAAAAACCAACUCAAUCUUUUGACAUCUCAUUUCAAAAAUAACAAAUCUGUCAUUAAACCAGAGCUAUAAAUUCAAGCUUAUUGAUAUCUCUUUUGGCACAGUGGCAUAAGAAGCUAUAAAUAUUCCUUACAUUCUUAUUACUAACUUGAAAGUCCAACUGAGAAGAAGAUAAAUCACUCCUACUUCUUCUAAGAUAAUCAAGAAAUGGGCAAAGGAAGUAUAUAGUUUCCUAAAUGGUGGAAAACUGGCUUUAAAAUGAAGUUGUCAGAGUUCCCUUUGCAGCUCAGCAGUAACAAACUCGACUAGAAUCUAUGAGGAUGCAGGUAUGAUCCCUGGCC